AUGGGGAAAUCAGUCCUUGGCAGGACAGCGAGAAAGACGCAGGAGGCAACCCUGCUCAACAGCAAGAAUAGUUGCGGCUCACUGAAGCUUUCAAGGUACCAAGCACCCAGCAAGGGUUACUGCUCCUCUUACAGUCACCAGAAGCUUCUAAGUCAAUUUGCAGGUGAUGAUAUUCCAAGAGAGGCUGGGAUUGGAAAGGGACAACAUCAAGUCUUGAAGCCAGCCUGACACCAGAGCCUCCUGUCCUUGGUCCAUAUACCUACAGCCCACUAAGACUUUCCAGAAGGCGCAGUCCAGAUCCCCCAUGGUGAGGGGUGUAGUGGGGGUGGUGUCACAGGAAAGCUGGGUAGUUCCGCUCUAGCAGAGGUGGCCCCUGGAGUCCUGUUCCUGCUAUUGCGUGGGCCAGACGUUCGGGCUGACGAGUUUGCAGCCCCGCCAUGCCAUUACCAGGCAGCCAGAGGGGGUGUCUGCGAGCGCCAACGCUGGGGUUCCUGAGGCCGCUUGCCUAUUAGUUGCUGGUGGCUUCGUGGUGAUUUAUUGGGGCUUCUUCAUUUCCCCUUGGUCCGCUAUAAACAUAUUUAUACCACCAGAGUGACCGAUAAAUUUCCCUUA
rnacentral:lncRNA from 1 species